CCUACACAGGUGCUGCAUGGCUGUCGUCAGCUCGUGCCGUGAGGUGUUCGGUUAAGUCCGAAAACGAGCGCAACCCUUAGUGCUAGUUACAAGUGUCUAGCGCGACUGCCCGGGGGAACUGGGAGGAAGGUGGGGAUGACGUCAAGUCAGCAUGGCCUUUAUGACUAGGGCGACACACACGCUACAAUGGACGGUGCAAUGGGCGGCGAAGCCGCGAGGCGGAGCGAAUCCUAAAAAGCCGUUCACAGUUCGGAUUGCAGGCUGCAACUCGCCUGCAUGAAGUCGGAGUUGCUAGUAAACGCGCAUCAGCCACGGCGCGUUGAAUACGUUCCCGGGCCUUGUACACACCGCCCGUCACGUCAUGGGAGCUGGUCAUGCCUGAAGUCGGUGAGCGAACCGCGAGGGAGCAGCCGCCGAAGGCGGGGCUGGUGACUGGGACGAAGUCGUAACAAGGUAGCUGUACCGGAAGGUGCGGCUGGAUCACCUCCUUUCUA
rnacentral:rRNA from 1 species